CAGUAGCCACGGUAAUACAGAGGUCUCAAGCGUUGUUCGGAUUCAUUGGGCGUAAAGGGAGCGUAGGCGGUCGGGUAAGUUGAAUGUGAAAUCCUGGGGCUCAACCUCAGAACUGCAUUCAAUACUGCUUGGCUAGAGUACUGGAGAGGUGAGUGGAAUUCACGGUGUAGCAGUGAAAUGCGUAGAUAUCGUGAGGAAGACCAGCGGCGAAGGCGGCUCACUGGACAGUUACUGACGCUGAUGCUCGAAGGCCAGGGGAGCAAACGGGAUUAGAUACCCCGGUAGUCCCUGUCUCUUAUAC
rnacentral:rRNA from 1 species